GCGUGGAUGAGCUUCAUUGGUAUGGUGUGCGGAUUUCAAAUCCGUAGGGGAUGGAAUAUGCCCAGUGGUUCGAUUCCACCUUCCACGC
rnacentral:tRNA from 1 species